rnacentral:tRNA from 1 species
CCUUCGAUAGCUCAGUUGGCAGAGCGGAGGACUGUAGUUGUUGACCGCAAUCAUCCCUAGGUCACUGGUUCGAUUCCGGUUCGAUGGA